rnacentral:rRNA from 1 species
GAUGAACGCUGACAGAAUGCUUAACACAUGCAAGUCUACUUGAUCCUUCGGGUGAUGGUGGCGGACGGGUGAGUAACGCGUAAAGAACUUGCCCUGCAGUCUGGGACAACGUUUGGAAACGAAUGCUAAUACCGGAUAUUAUGUGAGUUUCGCAUGAAAUUCAUAUGAAAGCUAUAUGCGCUGCAGGAGAGCUUUGCGUCCUAUUAGCUAGUUGGUGAGGUAACGGCUCACCAAGGCGAUGAUAGGUAGCCGGCCUGAGAGGGUGAACGGCCACAAGGGGACUGAGACACGGCCCUUACUCCUACGGGAGGCAGCAGUGGGGAAUAUUGGACAAUGGACCAAAAGUCUGAUCCAGCAAUUCUGUGUGCACGAUGAAGUUUUUCGGAAUGUAAAGUGCUUUCAGUUGGGACGAAGUAAGUGACGGUACCAACAGAAGAAGCGACGGCUAAAUACGUGCCAGCAGCCGCGGUAAUACGUAUGUCGCAAGCGUUAUCCGGAUUUAUUGGGCGUAAAGCGCGUCUAGGCGGUUUGGUAAGUCUGAUGUGAAAAUGCGGGGCUCAACUCCGUAUUGCGUUGGAAACUGCCAAACUAGAGUACUGGAGAGGUGGGCGGAACUACAAGUGUAGAGGUGAAAUUCGUAGAUAUUUGUAGGAAUGCCGAUGGGGAAGCCAGCCCACUGGACAGAUACUGACGCUAAAGCGCGAAAGCGUGGGUAGCAAACAGG